UACAUACUGUAUAUAUGAAGUGCUCAUUCUAAGGUAACGAAAACAACGAUUCUUAGUUUCAGGUGAUUAUACCCUAAAGAAAACAUACUUAUUAAUAUUAUACUCCAUUUCUGACAAUAUAUCCCCCUGAAUACUACACACUGGUCCUUUAAGAAAGACUAAUGAAAGAAAUGCUCAGUGAGAAGUUGCAUUGAGUUACAGAAGUUGGUAGAACAGCGUUUAGCCUGAAGGAGAC